rnacentral:lncRNA from 1 species
CUAGUUGAUGAAUGUUAACGGCUUUGAGACAAUCAGAUUUAAUAGGCAGAGAAAACUAAACCUAGUUGAUUUGAAAUGAAAUUUUAGAUCAUACACUUGCAAUGAAAUCUAAAAGCGUAACAAAAUAAUUUGUCAUACACAUUCUACUUGAAUUGUGGGAAACUAGGGAACUGCCACUGGCACAUGUAUUAGCUGUUAUUACAGUAAAAUAAGAAAAGAGCAUAGGAUCCAAUCAUGUUAUCCAUUCAAUAACCGCAGACAAGUCUCGUGUAUGUUGUUUUCAGAGGGUAAGAGGUGUGCUUUCACAGACCAUACAUUUAGUUUUAGUUUUAUAUUAGCAGCCGGUUGGGUGGGGGUGGGAAAAUUACAAAAUAUUGGCUUUAUACCA